GCCAUAUCAAUUUGAAACACCAGUUCUUGUAUGAUCACCAAAGUUAAGUAAUGCCGAGCCUGGUCAGUAACUACAUGGGUGACUGCAUGGGAAUAUCAGAUGCUGUAAG